AUUGUACACCAACUAUAUUUCAAUUAAAAAAUGAAUUUGUGUUUUUUUUAGGUGAAAACAACCUGAAUACCCACCAACUGAUGAUGACAGUAGAUAAACAAAGGUGGUAUAUGCAUACAAUGGAAUAUUAUUCAACUAUAAAAAGAAUGCAGUACUGAACGACUGAUACAUGGAAUUUUCCAGAAGUUAAAAUCUCUGAAUGGAGAUCAAAGGAGAGUCAUUCACAGGUCCACAAGAAUGGCUAAUAAAAGGUCCACAAGACUAGUUAUCUCAACUAGAAAUACUGAUGGAAGUAAAGAAACAGCAGUUUCCUGGAUCAACUGACAGAAGCUGCUUCUGCCACCACUUCCCCACAGUGUCUCACACCCACAAAUACAGUUUCAAGACAACGGAACUAGAAGCAAGCAAUGACACACACACAAGCCCAUGGAGGAAGAUAAUUUGUCUACAAGCAGCAUGGGGUGUUUCAGCAUGUCUUUCAUCCUAUAGAUGAGCCACCUAGCAGGAGUAGGAUGUGUAGGGGUUCAGAGCUUGGAAAACCUCACUCCACUCCUCCUCCCCGAGUGCCAGCGAUGCUCUGGUAACUUGGAAUUGAGAUCCUUCUUUGAUGGGCAGAGUUGUUGCUUCCUGACUUAGCGAAGGAUGCUCCUUGGUUUGGUGUGGAAUCGACUAUGGGAGACAGCAGCUGAAUGGUGGUAAAAAAGGAGUCUAUUUUAUUUCAAGGACCACCGGUCCCUAAACCCAUUUCUCAAAAUAGUAUUCCAGGAAUCACAUAAUUUCUUCCUACAAGAAUCCAAGAAGGCCUAUGAAACAGGUGUUAGCACUAUCUCCACUUUAUAAGAGGGGAGAAGGAGGCCCAGAGGAAAGUCAGGAGUCUUGACUAGAUAAUACGUCAUCCAGUUUUCCAUCCAUCCAUCCAUUCGCUCGGGAAAUAUUGGUCAAGUACCAAGUCUCUAAAGUGACACUGACCAUCAUAGACGGUUUGUACUAACGUCUGUGCCCCUGGCAGCCAGUAGGGAGAGGAAAAGUGACAGAGAAGUCCUGACUCAUAAUUGGAAAGGAUCAUAUGACUUGCUCCUUGGAAGAUAAGCUGUGACAAACCUACAGAGUGUGUUAAAAAGCAGAGACAUCACUUUGCCAACAAGGUCCAUACAGUCAAACUAUGGUUUUUCCUGUAGUCAUGUAUGGAUGUGAAUGUUGGACCAUGAAGAAGGCUGAGUGCUGAAGAACUGAUGCUUUCAAACUGUGGUGCUGGAGAAGACUCUUCAUAGUCCCUUGGACAGCAAGGAGGUAAACCAAUCAAUCCUAAGGGAAAUCAACUUUGAAUAUUCAUUGGAAGGACUGAUGCUGAAGAUGAAGCGUCAAUACUUUGGCCACCUGAUAUGAAGAUCCGACUCAUUGGAAAAGACCCUGAUGCUGGGAAACACUGAGGGCGUGAGGAGAAGGGGGCAACAGAAAGAUGGGAUGGUUAGAUAGCAUCAUCAACUCAAUGGACAUGAGUUUAAGCCAACUCAGGGAGAUAGUGAAGGACAGGGAAGCCUGGCAUGCUGCAGUUCAUGGAGUUGCAAAGAGUCAGACACCACUGAACAACUGAACAACAAGAAAAUAUGAGUUAGUCUCUGGAAAUGAGUAGCCUAUGAUAUGUGCUUCUUAGUUUCAUCUAGAAUUGUGCCUGUUUCUACAUGAGGAGUUGAAGAAUAAUAACAUUGCUCCAACGUGCCUGCCCUGACCCACCACGGGCUCUGCAGAUAAUGGGUGUCAUAGAUAAGCAAACUGCCCUUCUCCAGACUCCGGCUCAAAGAUGGUCAGUCAAGUUGACUCUUGUGGGCAGCAGACUAAGUGUUUCUCCUCUCUUGCUCAUUGUAUCUGUGUACAUCCUGCCUUGAGUUAAGAAAAACAUUGGCUGGGUAGGACUUGGGGUUAGUAGGGAGCCGUGGGGCCUAAGCCACUGUUUAUGACACAUGUCAUAUUUCAUGGACCACGUCUGGACCCCACCUGUCUCCUUAAUCUCCUUGGAAUGCUGACACUCCCUCUGUGAACUGUGUGUUAUGCUGAUGACUUCAGUGGGUACUGCAGUUUCCAAUUUCCUAACCUUUCUAUUAAAAUUAAUAUUUAGAUUUUAUAACUUUAAAACUAGAAGAAUGAUGGAAGCAGUAUUUGAUGUUUAUGUCUCUCAGUCACGAAAAUGCUCCCAAUUUCACUAAUGCCGGGCCACACACAUGUAGUCACAAUAAAUAGCAUUUAACGUGUUUACA
ensembl:lncRNA